CGUUGAGGGACGGGGUGCUGAGGUCGCCAGGCGCCACUACAGGCUGUACCGUCACAAGUAGGUGCCUCCUGGGGCGCCUGGGUGGCUCAGUGGAUUAAGCAUCCGACUUGGACUCAGGUCAUGAUCUCACCGUUUGUGAUCUCACUCUUUGCUGGCAGCCUGGAGCCUGCUUCUGAUUCACUGUUUGUUCCCCGCCCCCAGUCACACGCUGUCUCUCUCUCUCUCAAAAAAUAGAAAAAAAAAGAAAAGACAAAAAGGUGCCUCCUAAGGACACCCGCCUCCAGCAGCAGCAAGGGAGGUGGCUCCCAGCGCCUUCCCGGUUAACAAAACAUCCCCUUCCUCUGCUGUCCUGUCAGGACCAGACACCUGUAAGAAUAGAUGGUGUUUCUGCCUUCACCAGUCAGCCACCUAAUGAUGACUUUAGUGCUUCUCCCUCUGGGUGCCUCUGCCAGUGUCUAAGGGGAACGAUGAUUUAGCAGACGUCCCUGGAGCCGGCCCACAUGCGCAGCCCGUGGUUACCACAGAUGGAGUCACCUGGGCUAGGCCCACUUUGCCAAACUGGGACCUAGUAUCUAACCCAGUUGCAGUUCACCCUUCCCCAGGACUGAUCUUAAGAGGUCAUUCUGGAAUUCCCCCGUCUGCACCAGUGAGGUCAUCCAUUGAGACCCUUUUGUUCCCCAAAGGGAGGCCAUCUUGCCUGAAAUAGUCCUGUUUUUGUUCUUUAUAAUUUCUUUGUCCUGCAUUUAAAACCUUUUUCUUUCUGUAGCCCUUUGGAGCUCCUUUCUAUUGCCGGAUAGGGUGCUGCCCGAUUCAUGAAUCGUUCAAUAAGGUCAGUUAGAUCUCAGAAACUUCCUCAGUUGAAUUGUCGUAAUUUAGCAGAUUUGGCCCAGGAACGGAGGGCUCUGAACUGCACUUCUGAAGGCGUUCAGGGACGACGAGAAACACAGGCGUGGCACCCGUGAGCCCCUUUCUGAGUUGUCUUUCUUGCCUUUCCCAAGGGCCCUGCAUAAGUUCCUCCCGGUUCUGGGCUCUGCCCUCCUUGCCCUGAGCUCCCGAUCUCACUUGCUUUCCCAAGUUCCCCGUUUGUCUGAAAUCACUCGCUCCACAUGGGGGAACUGCCAGCAGUGUGGACACAAUCCCCCAGGUGACUGGAAACCCCGGUCCUCGGCUCUGUCCCCACAGUCCACGUCGGGCACUGCCGCCGGCAGCUGGAGCCCCCGUUUGUUGGGGUCCUGCUGAGUCAACCCCUUCCCCGGCCCAGACUCCACGCUGGGAAACGUUGGAGGCGCGCACAGGACUUCUCUCGGCCAGGACACGCUAACAGCACUCGGUGACUGCACGUUAUUCGGGCGCACAGGCUUGCUUGUCGUGUCAGAUGAAGGCUGGCGCAAAGACCAGGGCUCUCUGCAUUCUGAGGAGUUAGGCACGUGACCUCUGGCGCACCUGCUUAUUUUGCGUCUAAAGGAUGGCAGUCCCGGGAGCUGAAGCCAUCUCUACAAACGGCAACAUCUCACUAAAACCACCUAGAAUCGCAGUGGCUGUUACGAGGAACGUUCCAGUUAGAGAAGAUCACUUAAGAAGUGCACCUGGCAGCAAGGAUUCCCAAAUGAAGCAAACAGGCUGGGAUACGUUUUUUAAUCGGCAGGCAGAAGCCUCCACAAAGGUUCGAAGUUCCCAAAUAGCUUCAUUCAAAGAUUCACUGUGAAAGCUUAUUACAAAAUUAAGACACAGUUGACAACACUGGUUAUGUUCCCAAGGCUUUGACUGCAUGAUCAUAUUUGAAAGAGAUGUGCGCAGACUCAGGACGAGAUAGGUUUAGAGAACUAGAAUUGACUUUAUGGAUCCAGUAAAGCCCCUUGGUGAAAAGAACAUCCAUCUGGCACCUUGUUUCAAAGUUUUCUCCCACCUUGAUUAGGGGCCGCUGAGAACAAAGACCACCCUUGAAUCUCCUGUAAAGGUCCUGUACCAGGUCGUCCUCACUGAAGUUCAGGGACUUGCACUUUGGAUACGUGUGUCACAGCUGAAGAAGGCCGCGCCUGACAUCUGGUUCUGUACAGACUCUGAAGCCUCUGAACCGACUUGACGAGGAAGAGAAGCAGUGGACGCGAGAUAUCAGAGCAUAUUUGAAAGCGAUGGUGUAGAAUUCUACUGUUGUGUGAUAUCAGACAUGGUUUUUCCAAUGCCACUGAAUCCAAUUUGUGAGAAAGGU